rnacentral:lncRNA from 1 species
GGCCACAUAGCUAUCAUAGACCACGUCAAUGAGGAGGAUGAUCUCUGAUCCUCCAAGAAAGUGCUCUACAAAGAGCUGAAUCAGGCAGCCCCUGAAGAAAAUCAUUCUUCUCUGGCACAGCCGGUGGAUGUUCAUCUUGGGAGUGGUGACAGAGGGAUAGGAGGUGUCUAUAAAGGACAAAUCCAAGGACAGAGUGGUUUAAAACCCUGGAGAGACAGCAGCACAGAUUUUCAAACUGGAGGGGUAAGCCAGAAUGAAAGCAGAAUAAAAAGGAGGGCUGUCCCUAAAGAAAAGGAAGAUGGAAGUUGAGGAAUUUUAUUCUCUGCCCUCCUUCCAGGACAUCAGGAGGAAUAUAAACACA